rnacentral:rRNA from 1 species
UGGGGAAUUUUGGACAAUGGGCGAAAGCCUGAUCCAGCAAUGCCGCGUGUGUGAAGAAGGCCUUCGGGUUGUAAAGCACUUUUGUCCGGAAAGAAAUCCUUGGCUCUAAUACAGUCGGGGGAUGACGGUACCGGAAGAAUAAGCACCGGCUAACUACGUGCCAGCAGCCGCGGUAAUACGUAGGGUGCAAGCGUUAAUCGGAAUUACUGGGCGUAAAGCGUGCGCAGGCGGUUUGCUAAGACCGAUGUGAAAUCCCCGGGCUCAACCUGGGAACUGCAUUGGUGACUGGCAGGCUAGAGUAUGGCAGAGGGGGGUAGAAUUCCACGUGUAGCAGUGAAAUGCGUAGAGAUGUGGAGGAAUACCGAUGGCGAAGGCAGCCCCCUGGGCCAAUACUGACGCUCAUGCACGAAAGCGUGGGGAGCAAACAGGAUUAGAUACCCUGGUAGUCCACGCCCUAAAACGAUGUCAACUAGUUGUUGGGGAUUCAUUUCCUUAGUAACGUAGCUAACGCGUGAAGUUGACCGCCUGGGGAGUACGGUCGCAAGAUUAAAACUCAAUGAAUUGACGGGGUCAUAGCUGUUUCCU